AACUUUAGUUUUGUUUUAAAAAUUCUAAUAAUAAACUUAUUAAAAGUUUAAGUUAGUUUAAUUAAACAACUUAUAUAAAGGUUUAGUUUUAAAUUAAUAAAUUUGUGCCAGCAUUAGCGGUUAUACAAAUAUUUUUAAAAAAUUAUUGGUUUAAAGACUCUUAAAAUUAGUAAGUAAAAUAAUUAUUUUUUAAAUUUUAAGAUAAAUAGUUAAAUAAUUAUUUUAAAAUAGGAUUAGAUACCCUAGUAUUAAUUAUAAAUGAUUAAUACCAAAGUAAUAUUAAAUAUAAAACUUAAAAAAUUUGGCGGUGAAUUAUUCUCUCUAGAGAAUCUAGCUUAUUAAAAGAUAGUACGCGUUUUACCUUUCUUUGUUUAUUUUUAUGUAUGGUUGUUUUACGAUAGUUUAAAAUAUAAAAUAUUAAAAAAUUUAUAAUUUAAUAAAACAAAUCUUUUUAUAAAAAAAUAAAGUUUAAGUGGGGUGUUUUUGAAUUAAAAUAAUUAAAAUUUAUAAAUUAAAGAUUUAGAAGUAUAUAAAUAAAAGAUUAAUAAAUAGAAUCAGCUCUAAUUCAUACACAUAUCGCCCGUCAUUCCUUAACAGGACAAGUCGUAACAAAGUAACGCAAACUGAAGUUUGCGUU
rnacentral:rRNA from 1 species